rnacentral:lncRNA from 10 species
CUUCUAGCAAGAUUCCUGUAGCAGAUUGAGCUCUGGCAGUUGAUCUCAGUGGCUUGAUAGAGUGUCAUUAUAAAAACGCACCUGGAAGAUUCUGUGGAAAAGACAACCUCAGAAGACCAAGGUGAAUCCAAGGCCUGAUCUGGACUCUUAAUGGGUGGUUAAAUUCUAGUUCCUUUAAAUAAGCAUCAAAGACGCCACAAAACCACAGAUAAAGCUGCCAUAGACAGCUAUAUUUGGGACUCAUUUAUCAUUUGUCACAAGCAUUUCAUCCUCUUGCAAUAUUUUUUUCUACUUAGUACUUCUACAAGAAGGAAUCUGCCCACCACUCAAGCCUGGGAAAGCUGGCAGAGGAUGCACGUGUUUUACUCACCUGAGUGUUUACAAUGCUCGUGAGGUGCCUCCCUGAUAUUUUUAUAGCAGAAUGGAGAAACACAACCAAGGAGAUACACCUAAGUAACAACAGCAAUGAUGUCAAAAAGAGUGCCUGAAUACUUAGGGUGGAGGUCCUGGACAUGCAAACCCAAGCUUCCUCUUUGCUGUGGCCAGGAAUCUGCAGUGAUUGAGAGCACAGACUGUAUCUAAAAUUCCACCUUUCAAAGUUCAGCAUAUUACUUUUUUUUUUCUUACACCUAUAAAUUUACAAUCCAAAGCAGAGUGGGAGGAAGAGACCUACAAGACCAUGUUUCAUUGGAUAGCUUUGGAGUAAUAUCUAUAAUUUUAGAAAAAAGUUAAGAGGAAGAAGAAACUGGUGUCAGCUACACUUAGAAGAUUUUACAACAGAGACUGGCUUCCAUUCACUGAUCAGACAUUCACUGAUUUUUAAUUCUUACCACCAGAGAAAAAGUUGUUAUGAUGAGGGUCCUCAGGAAAGACAAUACAGUCAGCCGAGAAAUACAAUUUUCUUUGUCUACUGUUGUUUCCUUUACACGGACCAUUGAAAUAUAUACUUAACCACCAGCAAAACUCCUAUUAAACACAAGUAAAAAAAAAUCACUACAUGCAAAAGAGUGAACACCAGGCAAAGUGAUAAUUUAUGAAUUUCCAGGAUUUUUGUUGUAAUUUACCCGUGUAAGUUUACAAUAAAUGAUUGAUGUAACUAAAUUUAUGGAUUGCAAUUAAUUACUAGGUUUGUACCACAGAUGAAGUAAUAUAUAUAUUGUCUAAUUUAAUAAUGAUUUGUCUACAGAAUUCAACCAACUGCUCAUUACAGAAUCUGAUGAACCUACCUUUAGACUACCUGUUAUCUUAACUACCUGUGAAGAUACUAUAUAUGAUGUAAUAGGUUUAACAAAUAAUGAAGGACCUUUUGUCCUUGCUUGACUCAAGAAGGGAUGGAGGGUCUCCAAGAAAUAUAAAUGUAGUCUGCUAUAAUGGGUAUUAGCUAGAUUAGUACUUCAGAAAAGGAAGAAUUAUUUUCAUUAUCAAAUGAUUAUUUGAUAUUUCCAUUCUGCAUUCUAAGCACAUAUUAGUUGAUGUACAGGUGCUGCUGGAUAACUGUUUGGAAACAGACCACAAAAUCGCUCCAAAAGGUAAAAUUCUCAAAUAACAGAGUUGUCAUGGUUGUAAAAAAAAGGUAUGAUAAAUACAUAAAAGCUGGCAAAAAUGGGGAAGGAUUAAAACUGUAACCUUAGUUAUCCUUCAGUAAACAUAGUUAAGUAGAAUGAAGCAGAUGUUUAUUCUGGUAGAUUCUAUUGCAAUGUUACAUUUUAACUUAAUAUUUCUAUUUUGUGAUUUAUUUUUAGUAUAGCAAAAUGUUUGGUUAAUAUUGUGGGUAUUGAUACUGUGUUAAAAUUUGUGACAGUCUAUUUAAUUUUUCAAUAUGAAGAAGUAUUACUGCUAUGAUGAAAUAUUUACUGUUGUGGUGGAAAUAAAUAAGAAAAUAGAAUUGACUAAAAGCAAAACAAACCAAUAAAAAAAGAAAAAAAGUCUGUUAUUUAUCAACAAAACAUUAGGAAAUUUACAUGCUUAAAGUAAACUUUGAUUCCCUAUUCCAAAGUGCCUUAUAUAUUCUACUCUCUUUGCUUUCACAUAAAUUUAUUCUAUGCUAUAAUGUAACUGGUAUACUAUUAAGUCCCAUACAUAUGUUACAUUGAACCAUACAUUUUUCUAUUCCAGGAAAGAGAAUUUUCUCAUUUUUUCCACCACUACCAUCCACCACAAUGACCACUAUUUUUCUCUUCACUUAAAAAGUAUCAUUUAUCUAAAGUUAAUGGCAUAGUUUCAGACUUCUCAUGUGUCCAAGCAUAUGAAUUAACAGUUCCUAUGUUAUUGUCCUAAGAUUUGUAGGUUAAACCUUGGAUAUUCCCAUCUGAGCAUCUGUACCAAACAGAAAAGACCUGUGUGAGUUCCUGAGAACCAGUGCUCAUUCCAGAAGAGACAGGUUUCUCUCCAGGAAGAAAUGUCUGAAAUUCAGUGAAUUAAAAUCCUCAUUGAGUCUUCCUACUCUUUACUUCUCCCUGGAAAAACUGGUUACGAAAAUUUAAUAUUCUGUCAUGAUAAGAUCAAGCUCUAUCAGAUCAGCCAUACAUAUCAAGUACAUUUUGACAAACUUGAUUCAUACUGUUUUCAAAUUAUGAACAACCAAGGCUCUUCUAUCCAAAAAUAUUGAUUAUUUAAUUCUGAAUAUCAUUACAGAGCAGUAAUAUGCUCUCAGCAUUUGGGGAUACAAGAGUCAGAAGAUGGACAAGCUUCCUUCCUAACAACAAUUACCACUUAAUUACAAUAUACCAAGUAGUAUUUUAUCUGCUAGGUAUAUUGGACUUACUUUUCACAGAUAGUUUAUACUAACAAAAUUUCUAACCAAAAUAUUUCUUGAAAAUUACUGAUUUUAUUUGAAAUUAUGUGCAGGAAAAAUACAAGCAUAUCUCUGAAUUUCUAUUUGUCUGUUAAACAAAAGGGGAUAAAUAUGACUAAUGUCAUUUAACAAGAGGAAUUACAGACUAUGAAAAGAGUAGCUUAUUUAUAUCAACUCACAAUACUUUCCAGAGAGAGAAAGAAAAAGGCUAUUAUGUGGCCUGAACAAGAAGUUGGCCAUCCUUUUCCCUUUCUUUGUGGAAGAUGGUCCUGAUAGGAUAGAGACUUAAAGAAGGGAUUGAUUUGUUUUCUCCAGCUGUCCUAAUAGUGAGUGAAUAAAAUUAACUGUGAACUAUUUCAAUCAAUAACUCAAUGAUUGACUUACAUUGAUUAGAAAAGAGCUGAUUCUUUGCCAUGGAUAUCUAGAUACCUUGAUGAUCCUAUUUUGAACCAAUUUAAAAGUAGGACAAUACCCACUGGAUGGAAGUUUCAAAACCUGAAAACAAUAAAACCCACAAGAUUUUAUUUCUUUUAAUAACUUCUGUGACAAUGAAAUUGAAGUCUUACACACUUUUUUUUUUUUUUACUCCAGUGUCUUGUUAUCUGGAGCAAAAUUCAGAAAGGAGAGCAACUAUGUAAAAAAGUAAGAAUUUUGGCUUGCUAUGCCAUUCUUAGAGGUUUCUUUUAUCUUUAUAUUUUCUUGAAAUGUCUUGUGUAAAAUUUAAACAACUUCCUGUACUAUAAAUAAGAUAUUUUGAAGGCAAGCAUAUGCAUAGAUAAUACUUUAGAAAAGAAUUGUGAUUCCAAUUCUGUACUUAGCACUUAAUAUUAAAAGUUUCUUAUAGUGAAUAUAAUUUUCUACAACAGAUAGUACAAUUUUGUUUCACCAUUAACAGGUAAAUAAGUAAAUAUACAUUUAAAUAAAUAUUAUAAAGUUCAUUUGUUAAUUAAUACAAACAUUAUAAAUUAUUGAAUACUUUUUCCAAUGGACAAGCAGCUUUAAAAACCUGCUUUCACCACUUUAUUUAUUUAUUUUUUUUUGAGACAGAGUCUCGCUCUGUCGCCUAGGCUAGAGUGAUCUCGGCUCACUGCCAGCUCUGCCUCCCGGGUGCACGCCAUUCUCCUGCCUCAGCCUCCCAAGUAGCUGGGACUACAGGCACCCGCCACCACACCCGGCUAAUUUUUUGUAUUUUUUUAGUAGAGACAGGAUUUCACCGUGUUAGCCAGGAUGGUCUUGAUCUCCUGACCUCGUGAUCUGCCCACCUCAGCCUCCCAAAGUGCUGGGAUUACAGGCAUGAGCCACCGUGCCCGGCCUUUUUUUGGUAUUUUUAGUAGACAUGGGGUUUCACCCUGUUAGCCAGGAUGGUCUCGAUCUCCUGACCUCGUUAUCCACCCGCCGCGGCCUCCCAAAGUGCUGGGAUUACAGGCAUGAGCCACCGUGCCAGGCCACUUUCACCACUCUUAAUCCUCUGAGGUGAAGAGGUCUUUUAAACUAUAGUUUGUAUAACUGAAAAUCAAAAGAAAAAAGUUUUAAUGAAGUUUUUGUAAUUAGUAAGAAACAUAAGGGAAUACCAAAAGCAAACUUUUUUGAAUGCUUACUUUUGGGGAAGCAUUGAAUUUUAUAUCUGGUAUAUGAUAAUUCAUAUCUUAGGAUAUGCUCCCCUUUCUAUAAGUAGGAAUUAGGAAACACGGAGAGGUGAAUUUUUUGCUCAUGAAUGAAUUUACCCAUUAGGCAUUUUUGAGAGGUAUCAGUAGUCAGCAGUUAUCACUUUCUUCUACUCUUCAUAUUGCUAGAGACAUAGUGACUCCAUGUCUUAUAGAAUGUUCAUUUUCUCUUUCACUUAUCCCAUAUCAUGUGCCAGCUAUUGAUCCAAUCAAUUUUAACAAUGAAAGUUCUAAACCAGGAACCAUUUACACUGGAUCUUACAUUUGCCCUGGGUAAGAUGGCAGUUGAUGGCAGUGUCCACGUGCAUCAGGAAGAAGUCUUCAUUAGCUUCAUGAUUUAAGUCCUUAAAUGUAAUUUUAUCACAGAAAACAUAACCUAUAUUCAAGCCUUAACCUUAACUUAGUCCUCAUAUUCAUUGUUACCCUUACCAAGUUUUUCUUAAUUGUAUGCCUAGCAUGCAAAUGAUACGGACAGGAGACAGGGAAAUACAGGGUAGAAAAGGGCAGUUCCCCAGCAAAGGCCCCACCCUCAAGCCUGAAAAACCAUGGCCCUAAAUGAGGACAGGCAUUCCUGUUGUCACACCCAAAAAGUUGCCUUUUGGCCUGCCAUGCCCCAUAUCCUGUACCCAUAUAAAUCCCGAACCCCACGCUCCAGAAGCAGAUGAGCAGGUGAGGAAAUGAGGAGUCAAACAGAUGGAUAGUAGAACGACACAGCAAAGAAAGAAGAGGAAUGUCUGAAUACCAAGAGGAGUUCAGCUGGGGGCAGUUAGGGAGAGGUUUGGAGACUGGCCAGUUUCCAGGGGAAGAUCACCUUCCUAUUCUAUCCCCUCCUUCUGCCUCCUCAUCCAGCGCACUGAGAGCCACCUCCACCACUCAAUAAAAACCUUGCAUUCAUCCUUUAAGCCCGUGUGUGACCUGAUUCUUCCAGGACGGUGGGUAAGAGCUCAGGAUACUGAAAGCUGUCACACUGGCUCUCUGCGCUUGCGAAAAGGCAGAGGGUCCAUUGAGCUGGUUAACACUUAAAAUCAUCUGCAGACAGCAAGGCUAAGAGAGCAUCAGUUAACACUGUGGCUGCAGGCACCCACCCCAAGACACUGCCGUGUGACCAGAGAACACAGUGCUUGCUCCAGCCUCUGCACCCACCUGUCUGCAUGAUCCCUCUCCCUCAAGGGUUUUGAGCAGCAGUGGUGACCAAAUAGCCAAGCCACUCCCCUGUUGCAAGUCCUGAGAGGGGGAUCAGGGAACUCUCCCAUUUCACUUAGGCAGGGAAGGGGUAAGACUAUGGGAUGGACUAAGAAUGUAGAUUUUACAUAUCACUUGGUAAUUUGUUACAAAUUAUUUGGUAAUUUUUUUUUCUUUUUGAGACAGAGUCUUGCUCUGUUGCCCAGAGCCGGAGUGAAUGGCCAGUCUUGGCUCACUGCAACCUCCACCUCCUGGGUUCAAGCAGUUCUCCUGCCUCAGCCUCCCGAGUAGCUGGGAUUACAGGUGUGCGCCACCAAGCCCUGGCUAAUUUUUGUAUUUUUAGUAGAGAUGGGGUUUCACCAUGUUGGCCAGGCUGGUCUAGAACUCCUGACCUCAUAAUCCACCCACCUCAGCCUCCCAAAAUGCUGAGAUUACAGGCAUAAGCCACCGUGCCCAGCCUACUUGGUAAUUUUUAAAAGCUACAGGUUUAAUAGUUAAUUUCUCAAGCAAAUAAAAGAUGUUCCCAACUCCAAACUGCUUUAUUAAAUAAUUUAACCUAAUUAAAUAGAAUCCUGAUCAUGGACCAUAUAGUUUAUUAUCCAAACUGGAGCCACAGGCAGUAGACAGGAUUGAACCAGACAAUCCUGCAAGAUCACCCACCCUCCUUCAAAGAGAUAUUGUCUGUGAGUGGACAUUAUCCUCACAGCCUUAUACCUCUUUUUUCCAAUGGACAAUUGCAUAUGAAAUGACAGCAGAAAAAUUAAAAAACAGGGCAUCCCCAAGGGCAAAAUAAUGUAGGCCCAACUCAACACAUCAAAGAUGAAAAACUGCAGAAUAUAGCACUCCUCCAACCUGAGCUGUAAAAAGUUAUAUUCUUCAAAUAAUUUUCACUACCACUCUAUAUAACCAUGUUAAAUACAUUAGCACAACAUACUGAUGAAAAUAAAUGUCUUCCAAGAUUUGCACAUAAAUGCAAAGAGGAUCGUAAUCAUUACUUUUAAGAGAUUUGGGGUCAGUUGGUGUGUGUAUAGGGGAGUGUGUUUUAUUGUGAUAUAAUUCAAAAACCAUACAACUGAACAGUUUAAUAUAUUAGCAGAGUUCUGCAACCAUCACCACUAUCUAAUUAUAGAAGAAUUUCAACACCUCAAACACAAACUCCAUACCAUUUAACAAUCACUCUUAAUUCUUCAUUCUCCCCACUCCCAGGCAAACACAAAUCUACUUUCUGUCUCUGUGGUUUUGCCUGUUCCGGACAUUUCAUAUAAAUGAAAUCAUACAAUGCCUUUUCUGGCUGAAUUCUUUUUACAAUAUAAUAAUUUCAAGGUUCAUUCAUGUUGUAACACGUAUCAGUACAUCAUUCCUUUUUAUUUCUGAAUGAUAUUGAAUUAUAUGGACAUACUACAUUUUGUUAUCCACUCAUCAGUUGCUGGACAUCUGUAUUAUUUCCAUUUCUGAGGUAUUAUGUGUAACACUGCUAUGGACAUUUAUGUGGAAUUUUUUGUGGACAUAUGUUUUCACUUCUCUUGGAUAUAUACCCAGGAGUGUAAAUUGCUGGUCAUAUUGUCUCUGUUUUAUAAUACAUUUUGAGGAACUGCCAAACUGCUUUCCAAUGUGACUUCACCACUUUAAAAUCCCACAGCAAUAUAUGAUAAUUACAAUUUCUCCAUAUCCUCACCAACAUUUGUUAUCAUCUGUUUUUUUUAUCUGAGCCGUCCUAGUGAGUAUAAAGUGGUAUCUCAUUAUAGUUUUGAUUAGCAUUUCCCUUCUGGCUAAUGAUGCUGAGUAUCUUUUCAUGUGUUUCUUAGCCAUUUGCAUAUUUUUCCUUGAAAACAGUCUAUUAAGAUAUUUUUCCUUAUUUUUGAAUGGGUUAUUUGUUUUUUCACUACUGAAUUGUAAGAGUAGUUUCUUUAUGCUAAAUACAAGAGCUGUAUCAGUUAUAUGUUUUGCAAUUGUUUUCCCUUUUACUGGAUUGUUAUAAUAAAGAGUCUGACUCCAUUAUUGAUGUGUGACUCUUGGCAGCUUUUAAAACCCCAUCCUAAUGUCUUCCCCUUCUGUCCCGCACUGGACCAUGAUGAUAAGAAAGUCUGGGUUUUCCCACCUUUGGCACUGAAGGGAAGUUCAAACCACACAGGGGGACCCUCAGCCCAGCCUCAUCUUAUAACCCCCAUAAAACCCCCA